rnacentral:rRNA from 1 species
UACAGAGGGGGCUAGCGUUGUCCGGAUUUAUUGGGCGUAAAGAGCGUGUAGGCGGCCAUGUAGGUCCGGUGUGAAAACUCGAGGCUUAACCUCGAGAUGUCAUCGGAAACCAUUUGGCUAGAGUCCGGAAGAGGAGAGUGGAAGUUCCUGGUGUAGCGGUGAAAUGCGCAGAUAUCAGGAAGAACACCAAUGGCGAAAGCAGCUCUCUGGGACGGUACUGACGCUGAGACGCGAAAGCGUGGGGAGCGAACAGG